rnacentral:rRNA from 1 species
GGUUAAGCGACUAAGCGUACACGGUGGAUGCCCUGGCAGUCAGAGGCGAUGAAGGACGUGCUAAUCUGCGAUAAGCGUCGGUAAGGUGAUAUGAACCGUUAUAACCGGCGAUUUCCGAAUGGGGAAACCCAGUGUGAUUCGUCACACUAUCAUUAACUGAAUCCAUAGGUUAAUGAGGCGAACCGGGGGAACUGAAACAUCUAAGUACCCCGAGGAAAAGAAAUCAACCGAGAUUCCCCCAGUAGCGGCGAGCGAACGGGGAGCAGCCCAGAGCCUGAAUCAGUGUGUGUGUUAGUGGAAGCGUCUGGAAAGGCGCGCGAUACAGGGUGACAGCCCCGUACACAAAAAUGCACAUACUGUGAGCUCGAUGAGUAGGGCGGGACACGUGGUAUCCUGUCUGAAUAUGGGGGGACCAUCCUCCAAGGCUAAAUACUCCUGACUGACCGAUAGUGAACCAGUACCGUGAGGGAAAGGCGAAAAGAACCCCGGCGAGGGGAGUGAAAAAGAACCUGAAACCGUGUACGUACAAGCAGUGGGAGCACAGAGCAAUCUGUGUGACUGCGUACCUUUUGUAUAAUGGGUCAGCGACUUAUAUUCUGUAGCAAGGUUAACCGAAUAGGGGAGCCGAAGGGAAACCGAGUCUUAACUGGGCGUUAAGUUGCAGGGUAUAGACCCGAAACCCGGUGAUCUAGCCAUGGGCAGGUUGAAGGUUGGGUAACACUAACUGGAGGACCGAACCGACUAAUGUUGAAAAAUUAGCGGAUGACUUGUGGCUGGGGGUGAAAGGCCAAUCAAACCGGGAGAUAGCUGGUUCUCCCCGAAAGCUAUUUAGGUAGCGCCUCGUGAAUUCAUCUCCGGGGGUAGAGCACUGUUUCGGCAAGGGGGUCAUCCCGACUUACCAACCCGAUGCAAACUGCGAAUACCGGAGAAUGUUAUCACGGGAGACACACGGCGGGUGCUAACGUCCGUCGUGAAGAGGGAAACAACCCAGACCGCCAGCUAAGGUCCCAAAGUCAUGGUUAAGUGGGAAACGAUGUGGGAAGGCCCAGACAGCCAGGAUGUUGGCUUAGAAGCAGCCAUCAUUUAAAGAAAGCGUAAUAGCUCACUGGUCGAGUCGGCCUGCGCGGAAGAUGUAACGGGGCUAAACCAUGCACCGAAGCUGCGGCAGCGACGCUUAUGCGUUGUUGGGUAGGGGAGCGUUCUGUAAGCCUGUGAAGGUGUACUGUGAGGUAUGCUGGAGGUAUCAGAAGUGCGAAUGCUGACAUAAGUAACGAUAAAGCGGGUGAAAAGCCCGCUCGCCGGAAGACCAAGGGUUCCUGUCCAACGUUAAUCGGGGCAGGGUGAGUCGACCCCUAAGGCGAGGCCGAAAGGCGUAGUCGAUGGGAAACAGGUUAAUAUUCCUGUACUUGGUGUUACUGCGAAGGGGGGACGGAGAAGGCUAUGUUGGCCGGGCGACGGUUGUCCCGGUUUAAGCGUGUAGGCUGGUUUUCCAGGCAAAUCCGGAAAAUCAAGGCUGAGGCGUGAUGACGAGGCACUACGGUGCUGAAGCAACAAAUGCCCUGCUUCCAGGAAAAGCCUCUAAGCAUCAGGUAACAUCAAAUCGUACCCCAAACCGACACAGGUGGUCAGGUAGAGAAUACCAAGGCGCUUGAGAGAACUCGGGUGAAGGAACUAGGCAAAAUGGUGCCGUAACUUCGGGAGAAGGCACGCUGAUAUGUAGGUGAAGUCCCUCGCGGAUGGAGCUGAAAUCAGUCGAAGAUACCAGCUGGCUGCAACUGUUUAUUAAAAACACAGCACUGUGCAAACACGAAAGUGGACGUAUACGGUGUGACGCCUGCCCGGUGCCGGAAGGUUAAUUGAUGGGGUCAGCGCAAGCGAAGCUCUUGAUCGAAGCCCCGGUAAACGGCGGCCGUAACUAUAACGGUCCUAAGGUAGCGAAAUUCCUUGUCGGGUAAGUUCCGACCUGCACGAAUGGCGUAAUGAUGGCCAGGCUGUCUCCACCCGAGACUCAGUGAAAUUGAACUCGCUGUGAAGAUGCAGUGUACCCGCGGCAAGACGGAAAGACCCCGUGAACCUUUACUAUAGCUUGACACUGAACAUUGAGCCUUGAUGUGUAGGAUAGGUGGGAGGCUUUGAAGUGUGGACGCCAGUCUGCAUGGAGCCGACCUUGAAAUACCACCCUUUAAUGUUUGAUGUUCUAACGUUGACCCGUAAUCCGGGUUGCGGACAGUGUCUGGUGGGUAGUUUGACUGGGGCGGUCUCCUCCUAAAGAGUAACGGAGGAGCACGAAGGUUGGCUAAUCCUGGUCGGACAUCAGGAGGUUAGUGCAAUGGCAUAAGCCAGCUUGACUGCGAGCGUGACGGCGCGAGCAGGUGCGAAAGCAGGUCAUAGUGAUCCGGUGGUUCUGAAUGGAAGGGCCAUCGCUCAACGGAUAAAAGGUACUCCGGGGAUAACAGGCUGAUACCGCCCAAGAGUUCAUAUCGACGGCGGUGUUUGGCACCUCGAUGUCGGCUCAUCACAUCCUGGGGCUGAAGUAGGUCCCAAGGGUAUGGCUGUUCGCCAUUUAAAGUGGUACGCGAGCUGGGUUUAGAACGUCGUGAGACAGUUCGGUCCCUAUCUGCCGUGGGCGCUGGAGAACUGAGGGGGGCUGCUCCUAGUACGAGAGGACCGGAGUGGACGCAUCACUGGUGUUCGGGUUGUCAUGCCAAUGGCACUGCCCGGUAGCUAAAUGCGGAAGAGAUAAGUGCUGAAAGCAUCUAAGCACGAAACUUGCCCCGAGAUGAGUUCUCCCUGACUCCUUGAGAGUCCUGAAGGAACGUUGAAGACGACGACGUUGAUAGGCCGGGUGUGUAAGCGCAGCGAUGCGUUGAGCUAACCGGUACUAAUGAACCGUGAGGCUUAACCUU